rnacentral:rRNA from 1 species
GGUUAAGUGACUAAGCGUACACGGUGGAUGCCUUGGCAGUCAGAGGCGAUGAAAGACGUAGUAACUUGCGAUAAGCCCAGAUUAGGUAGUAACAACCAUUUGAGUCUGGGAUUUCUGAAUGGGGAAACCCACGUGCAUAAGCACGUAUCCUUACCUGAAUACAUAGGGUAAGGAGGCGAACCGGGGGAACUGAAACAUCUAAGUACCCCGAGGAAAAGAAAUCAACCGAGAUUCCGAAAGUAGCGGCGAGCGAAAUUGGACUAGCCCUUAAGCUUUACACGCGUUAGACGAACGGUCUGGAAAGUCCGACGAUACAGGGUGAUAGUCCCGUAGUUGACGACGUGUGUUCAGUGAAAUCGAGUAGGGCGGGACACGUGAUAUCCUGUCUGAAUAUGGGGGGACCAUCCUCCAAGGCUAAAUACUACUGACUGACCGAUAGUGAACCAGUACCGUGAGGGAAAGGCGAAAAGAACCCCUGUGAGGGGAGUGAAAUAGAACCUGAAACCGUGUACGUACAAGCAGUAGGAGCAGGCUUUGUCCUGUGACUGCGUACCUUUUGUAUAAUGGGUCAGCGACUUAUAUUCAGUGGCAAGGUUAACCAUCUAGGGGAGCCGUAGGGAAACCGAGUCUUAACUGGGCGUUCAGUCUCUGGAUAUAGACCCGAAACCAGGUGAUCUAGCCAUGGGCAGGUUGAAGGUUGAGUAACAUCAACUGGAGGACCGAACCGACUAAUGUUGAAAAAUUAGCGGAUGACUUGUGGCUAGGGGUGAAAGGCCAAUCAAACCUGGAGAUAGCUGGUUCUCCCCGAAAGCUAUUUAGGUAGCGCCUCGGACGAAUACUACUGGGGGUAGAGCACUGUUAAGGCUAGGGGGUCAUCCCGACUUACCAACCCUUUGCAAACUCCGAAUACCAGUAAGUACUAUCCGGGAGACACACGGCGGGUGCUAACGUCCGUCGUGGAGAGGGAAACAACCCAGACCGCCAGCUAAGGUCCCAAAUUACUACUAAGUGGGAAACGAUGUGGGAAGGCUCAGACAGCCAGGAUGUUGGCUUAGAAGCAGCCAUCAUUUAAAGAAAGCGUAAUAGCUCACUGGUCGAGUCGGCCUGCGCGGAAGAUGUAACGGGGCUAAGUAGUAAACCGAAGCUGCGGCAAUAUACUUUUGUAUAUUGGGUAGGGGAGCGUUCUGUAAGCGGUUGAAGGUGUGUGGUAACGCAUGCUGGACGUAUCAGAAGUGCGAAUGCUGACAUGAGUAACGAUAAAGGGGGUGAAAAACCUCCUCGCCGGAAGACCAAGGGUUCCUGUCCAACGUUAAUCGGGGCAGGGUAAGUCGACCCCUAAGGCGAGGCCGAAAGGCGUAGUCGAUGGGAAACGGGUUAAUAUUCCCGUACUUCUUACAAUUGCGAUGGGGGGACGGAGAAGGCUAGGUGGGCCUGGCGACGGUUGUCCAGGUUCAAGUGCGUAGGCUUAAGAGUUAGGUAAAUCCGGCUCUUUUUAAGGCUGAGACACGACGUCGAGCACCUACGGGUGUGAAGUCAUUGAUGCCAUGCUUCCAGGAAAAGCCUCUAAGCUUCAGAUUGUAAGGAAUCGUACCCCAAACCGACACAGGUGGUCGGGUAGAGAAUACCAAGGCGCUUGAGAGAACUCGGGUGAAGGAACUAGGCAAAAUGGUACCGUAACUUCGGGAGAAGGUACGCUCUUGAUGGUGAAGUCCCUUGCGGAUGGAGCUGACGAGAGUCGCAGAUACCAGGUGGCUGCAACUGUUUAUUAAAAACACAGCACUGUGCAAAAUCGUAAGAUGACGUAUACGGUGUGACGCCUGCCCGGUGCCGGAAGGUUAAUUGAUGGGGUUAGACUUCGGUCGAAGCUCUUGAUCGAAGCCCCGGUAAACGGCGGCCGUAACUAUAACGGUCCUAAGGUAGCGAAAUUCCUUGUCGGGUAAGUUCCGACCUGCACGAAUGGCGUAAUGAUGGCCACGCUGUCUCCACCCGAGACUCAGUGAAAUUGAAAUCGCUGUGAAGAUGCAGUGUACCCGCGGCUAGACGGAAAGACCCCGUGAACCUUUACUACAGCUUGGCACUGAACAUUGACCCUACAUGUGUAGGAUAGGUGGGAGGCUUUGAAGCACGUACGCCAGUAUGUGUGGAGCCGUCCUUGAAAUACCACCCUUGUAGUGUUGAUGUUCUAACGUCGACCCCUUAUCGGGGUUGCGGACAGUGCCUGGUGGGUAGUUUGACUGGGGCGGUCUCCUCCCAAAGAGUAACGGAGGAGCACGAAGGUGGGCUAAUCACGGUUGGACAUCGUGAGGUUAGUGCAAUGGCAUAAGCCCGCUUGACUGCGAGAAUGACAAUUCGAGCAGGUGCGAAAGCAGGUCAUAGUGAUCCGGUGGUUCUGAAUGGAAGGGCCAUCGCUCAACGGAUAAAAGGUACUCCGGGGAUAACAGGCUGAUACCGCCCAAGAGUUCAUAUCGACGGCGGUGUUUGGCACCUCGAUGUCGGCUCAUCACAUCCUGGGGCUGAAGUCGGUCCCAAGGGUAUGGCUGUUCGCCAUUUAAAGUGGUACGCGAGCUGGGUUUAGAACGUCGUGAGACAGUUCGGUCCCUAUCUGCCGUGGGCGUUGGAAGAUUGAAGGGGGCUGCUCCUAGUACGAGAGGACCGGAGUGGACGAACCUCUGGUGUUCGGGUUGUGUCGCCAGACGCAUUGCCCGGUAGCUAAGUUCGGAAUCGAUAACCGCUGAAAGCAUCUAAGCGGGAAGCGAGCCCUGAGAUGAGUCUUCCCUGAUACUUUAAGUAUCCUAAAGGGUUGUCGGAGACUACGACGUUGAUAGGUCAGGUGUGUAAGUGCUGUGAGGCAUUGAGCUAACUGAUACUAAUUGCCCGU